AUUGAACGCUGGCGGCAGGCCUAACACAUGCAAGUCGAGCGAGCGGCGGAGGUGAGUGAUAUGCCUGGGACUUCCCCUGUCGGGGGGGGUAACCGUGGGAAACGACUGCUAAUCCCGUAUACGAUUGGAUCGCCCAGGUGGGAUUAGCUAGUUGGUGAGGUAAUGGCUCACCAAGGCGACGAUCCCUAGGUGGUCUGAGAGGAUGAUCAGCCACACUGGAACUGAGACACGGUCCAGACUCCUACGGGAGGCAGCAGUGGGGAAUAUUGCACAAUGGGGGAAACCCUGAUGCAGCCAUGCCGCGUGUAUGAAGAAGGCCUUCGGGUUGUAAAGCACUUUCAGCGAGGAGGCGUUACUCGCAGAAGAAGCACCGGCUAACUCCGUGCCAGCAGCCGCGGUAAUUC
rnacentral:rRNA from 1 species